rnacentral:rRNA from 1 species
UAGCGGAGGGGCUAGCGUUGUUCGGAAUUACUGGGCGUAAAGGGCUCGUAGGCGGCCAACUAAGUCGGACGUGAAAUCCCCAGGCUCAACCUGGGAACUGCGUCCGAUACUGGAUGGCUUGAAUCCGGGAGAGGGAUGCAGAAUUCCAGGUGUAGCGGUGAAAUGCGUAGAUAUCUGGAGGAAUACCGGUGGCGAAGGCGGCUCACUGGACCGGUUCUGACGCUGAAGCGCGAAAGCGUGGGGAGCAAACGGG